rnacentral:lncRNA from 1 species
AUGAAGGCAAUAACAACAGUACUGGAGCAAGAAAUCCCAGAGCAGCUUGACAGACAAAAACUUAUACAUGAGACAGGCAUACCUGCUUUGAAGCAUAUUUUAGAAGAUAUACAGCUGAAAGGACCAGGACAUCAGGCUGAAGACCUGCAAUUGUUGCUGCAGAAGAUUGAAUGCUGGGCCCAAAGCAUUUUUCCAGAAAUGAAAUUUGAAGAUUUUAUUAACAAACUUGAAGAAUUUGAAGUGACAGACUGAAUUUAGCCUUGAUGCCCUCCUCCGAGCUGCUGUUAACAGGUGGAAAGGCUGCGUCAUUUAUGAGGGUGAUCUGAACCGCUCGGAGCUCGUCGUUCAGAAGGUGCAAGGCAGAGGCGGCGAG